AGAUUGAACGCUGGCGGAAUGCUUUACACAUGCAAGUCGAACGGCAGCACGGGACUCAGGCAACUGAGCCCUGGUGGCGAGUGGCGAACGGGUGAGUAACAUAUCGGAACGUACCCAGUCGUGGGGGAUAACUCUCCGAAAGGAGAGUUAAUACCGCAUACGUCCUGAGGGAGAAAGCGGGGACCUAAGGUAACUGAGGCCUCGCGCGAUUGGAGCGGCGAU
rnacentral:rRNA from 1 species